AAUUCAAAUUCACCAAACUUGAAUUUGAAGCGGAGGAACCAAAUAUUGGGGCGCAUCUUCUAGAGGGUUGCAUUUUCCAGGUUUAACUAACUCAGCACUCAUACCAAUUCACCACUCAUAAGAGAGACACCUUCCAGUCUUAGCCCGUCAGCUAACUUCGUAGGCAAUGGAAGGAACC
rnacentral:sRNA from 2 species